GAUGAACGCUGGCGGCGUGCUUAACACAUGCAAGUCGAACGAGAAGUGAAGACGGAAACCUUCGGGCGGAAGGCUUUAUUUCGAGUGGCGGACGGGUGAGUAACGCGUGGGUAACCUGCCUCAUACAGGGGGAUAACAGUUGGAAACGACUGUUAAUACCGCAUAAGACCACAGCACCGCAUGGUGCGGGGGUAAAAACUCCGGUGGUAUGAGAUGGACCCGCGUUCGAUUAGCCAGUUGGCGGGGUAACGGCCCACCAAAGCGACGAUCGAUAGCCGAUCUGAGAGGAUGACCGGCCACAUUGGGACUGAGACACGGCCCAAACUCCUACGGGAGGCAGCAGUGGGGAAUAUUGCACAAUGGGGGAAACCCUGAUGCAGCGACGCCGCGGGAGUGAAGAAGUAUUUCGGUAUGUAAAGCUCUAUCAGCAGGGAAGAAAAUGACGGUACCUGAGUAAGAAGCCCCGGCUAACUACGUG
rnacentral:rRNA from 1 species